rnacentral:rRNA from 1 species
GUCUACGGCCAUACCACCCUGAACGCACCCGAUCUCGUCUGAUCUCGGAAGCUAAGCAGGGUCGGGCCUGGUUAGUACUUGGAUGGGAGACAUCUAGACAUACUAUAGGGUGGUGGUUA